rnacentral:rRNA from 1 species
CCUACGGGGGGCUGCAGUGAGGAAUAUUGGUCAAUGGACGAGAGUCUGAACCAGCCAAGUAGCGUGAAGGAUGACUGCCCUAUGGGUUGUAAACUUCUUUUAUAUGGGAAUAAAAUGUUCCACGUGUGGGAUUUUGUAUGUACCAUAUGAAUAAGGAUCGGCUAACUCCGUGCCAGCAGCCGCGGUCAUACGGAGGAUCCGAGCGUUAUCCGGAUUUAUUGGGUUUAAAGGGAGCGUAGGUGGAUUGUUAAGUCAGUUGUGAAAGUUUGCGGCUCAACCGUAAAAUUGCAGUUGAAACUGGCAGUCUUGAGUACAGUAGAGGUGGGCGGAAUUCGUGGUGUAGCGGUGAAAUGCUUAGAUAUCACGAAGAACUCCGAUUGCGAAGGCAGUUCACUGGACUGCAACUGACACUGAGGCUCGAAAGUGUGGGUAUCAAACAGGAUUAGAUACCCUAGUAGUC